UUUCACCUAAACUUUCUCUCUCUAACUCUCAAAUCCUCUCAACUCUCUCUCUCUAGAAAUAAGUCCGGCGAGAAUUCCGGCCGACUCCCGGCGGAGCUCCGGCGACCGGCGACUUUCCGGCGGAGAUCCGGCAACCAACGAUUUUCCGGCGAAUUUUCCGGCGGCCGUUUUUCGGCCAAGAGUACACUUUUUCGACUAUAUCCGACGUUCCGGAUCGCGUGGUGAGAUGCUUAGAUCGGGACUUGAGGAGCAUUUCUGCAAAUUUUCAAGAAAUUUUAUUCUCCGGCGAAAUUCCGACUUCUGACAUGGUUUUGGCGAGGUUCCAACCGUCCGUUUUCGACGAAAAUUAUAUUUUUGGGCUCCUAGUGACCCGUAGAGUCCAUACGAAACACUUUCGUCUCGGGUGAAAAUUUAAGUUCGGGACGCUCUCGGGCUCGGGUCAACGCAGUCAACAGGUCAAACACGGGUCAAGAGGCAGUUUUGGGUCAUUUUUAGUGCCUCGGUUCAGUUUCGGGUCCGGUCAACCCUGGUCAACACGGGUCAAACGUGGUCAAAGCUGGUCAAAGCUGGUCAAACUCAGUCAACUGCUGGUCAACACAGUCAACUAAGUCAACACGAGGCUCGGAAUACUAUAGAUGCACGCUAGCCAAAUCACGUCCUUGGAACGACACUACGGAAUCACGCUAGGCUAGCAUUCCACAUGGAAGUCCAGGCCUUGGAUAUAUGAUAUGAAGGCAGUCCCCUCGACAUAUCAUCAAUGUGUCAAGCUCCCAACUCCUUGGGGUGUGGUGAAAAUUGAAAGCGAUCAACAAGAAGCGAAGAAUAGUUACACUUCCUCAAUGAAGCCAGCCUCAAAGCCAAGGGAAGCAUAGCAAUUACAGUAUCCUCCAAGGGACGUCAUGGAGGCAAGGGAGUAGGACGUCAAAGUUAUUCUGUUGGACCUUGAGGAUCCUGAAUCCAAAGUUUUUAUAGGAUCCGGGAUCCUGGAUAACAUAGAGCAGGAUUUAAUAUCCUUCUUAAAAAGAAGAAAAUCUACUUUUGCUUGGAAACACGAAGACAUGACAGGUAUAUCUAAGGAUGUCAUUACUCAUAAACUUGGUAUUGACAGGUCUUUCAAGCCAAUACACCAAAAAAGGAGGAAAUUUACACCCAAAAGAAAUGCCAUUAUUCAAGAAGAGGUAGACAAGUUAUGUCUCGGAUUACAAAUUAAAAUGACAUAGAUUACAACAAGCGUACAAGUGUCUAAAAGUGGAAAGUACAACACAACUUGCUAAAAUAAGAAAGUAAAGAAAUGUGGAGCGUUACAACCAUCUACUGCCACCCUUAGCCACCACCAAUCCCACCUCAACCAUCGGUGAUACCAGCCACCCACAACACCUGCGGGACAUAAUCGCAAGCAACAAUACACACCCCCCAUCACUACCUAUCCCCAUCGCCACCACCCAUUUUCUUCAUCAUCAUCUUCAAAACUAAAAUCAAAACCCUCACACAAAAUCACAAAUUGAUUAUCUCAAAAUUUAAACUAUCUAACCAAUCGAUCAACCACUUAUCUUAAUAGAUUGAUGAGCGAUGUCGAAUUAUCACUGGGAUUUCAGUUAAAAGCUUGAUUACGUGUUCAGGAUCGUACUAGUUGGGGAUUCUGUUGUGGGAAAAUCUUAACUGUUGGCUAGAUUUCAAGAAAUGAGUUCAGUUUGGAUUUGAAUGCUACCAUUGGUGUUGAGUUCCAAACGAAGAAGAUCGUUUCGACGGCGGCGGCAUAUCUGGAUUUAGGGUUCCAGACGAAGAUGGUGGAUUUGAAAGCUACGAUCGUACUAACUAGGGAUUCUGUUGUGGGAUGAACUACGACGGCAGAAGAUCUGGAUUUAAGGUUUCGACGACGGAGACAGGUUUGGAUUUAGGGUUUCGACGACGGCAACUUUUAGGGUGCGUUAGCCGUGGUGGUGAGAUGAAAACAGAGGAGCUUUGGGAGGUGGUGAUGGGACGGUGGUGGUGGUGCUAUAAGCGGUGGUGGCCCUGAUUGUUUAGAGAGAGAGAUAGUUAGUGGAGAGAGAGAGAGAGAGUUGAGGGAAUUAUAGUGAGUUUUGAAAGAGAGAGAGAGGGAGAGAUGAGUUUUCUGAUUAUUUAUUUAAGUGUUUAGGGUAAAAUGACCAAAAUACCCUCACGUGGGGUCCACUUGGUCAGAUUUAACCAUGAAAAAUAACUGAGUUAAGGCUAAAGGACAUAACGUGCAAGGCUUUGCAAACAUCGAGUACGUUUU